GGAGGCAGGAACUGGCCCAGAACAGCACGCAACCCUUGGCUCCUGGCAGGCCUGCAUGGAGCACCACCUGGGGCUGGAGAGGGAGGCAAGUUCUAGCACAGCAACAGCAUUCUCCCGGCCUUAGCUGGAGGGCAGCCCCACAGGCCUAGGCUGCUGUCACACUCCCCGCGGAGUCACCUGCGCUCUCCCCACCAUAGGCAGAGGGCCCUCCGGAUGAGAAACUGGUCACGCUGAUAUGCCAAGCAGUCAAAGCCACCUUCAACCCGGCCCAAGACGAGUGCAGCAUACGGCUGGCACGUGUUCCAGGAAGUCAGGCCGUGGUCGUCAAAGAAAUCACUAUUCACACUAAGCUCCCUGCCAAGGAUGUGUACGAGCGGCUGAAGGACAAAUGGGAUGAACUAAAGGAGGCAGGGGUCAGUGACAUGCAGCUAGGGGACCAGGGGCCACCGGAGGAGGCCGAGGACCGCUUCAGUAUGCCCCUCAUCAUCACCAUCGUCUGCAUGGCAUCAUUCCUGCUCCUCGUGGCGGCCCUCUAUGGCUGCUGCCACCAGCGCCUCUCCCAGAGGA
rnacentral:sRNA from 1 species